rnacentral:rRNA from 1 species
CCUACGGGAGACAGCAGUGAGGAAUAUUGGUCAAUGGACGAGAGUCUGAACCAGCCAAGUAGCGUGAAGGAUGACUGCCCUAUGGGUUGUAAACUUCUUUUAUAUGGGAAUAAAAUGUUCCACGUGUGGGAUUUUGUAUGUACCAUAUGAAUAAGGAUCGGCUAACUCCGUGCCAGCAGCCGCGGUAAUACGGAGGAUCCGAGCGUUAUCCGGAUUUAUUGGGUUAAAAGGGGCGUAGGUGGAUUGUUAAGUCAGUUGUGAAAGUUUGCGGCUCAACCGUAAAAUUGCAGUUGAAACUGGCAGUCUUGAGUACAGUAGAGGUGGGCGGAAUUCGUGGUGUAGCGGUGAAAUGCUUAGAUAUCACGAAGAACUCCGAUUGCGAAGGCAGUUCACUGGACUGCAACUGACACUGAGGCUCGAAAGUGUGGGUAUCAAACAGGAUUAGAUACCCGUGUAGUC